rnacentral:lncRNA from 1 species
UGACACCUACAACGAACGGUCCCUACAUCGCAUGGGGUACUCUAAGUUGGAAGGUCGGUGGAUAUGAUGGAUAUUCGAGAAGGACCAGCGAAGGUGGGCAGACGAGGGAGGCUCGAGUCAUCCUCAGGCAGAUUCAGUGCUCGAGAUUCCUCCACCAUAGUAUAUUGAGCCAAAGACACCAAUCCAAGUUCAUCAAACUUCUUCAUCCCUAGUGACACCAUCAGUAGCACCAUC